UUUGGGGAGAUGAGUGAAAGAAGAUGAGAGUUCCAUGAGCGUAGAGAUUUUGAAGUGUUAACCAAGAGUUUUUAACAUUUAUAAGGAGGCUAUUUGAGAGAAAUGGGAGGCCUAGGGCUUCAGGUUUUGGAAGUGAAUUUGGAGGGCAUUAAUGGAGGGUUUGGCACUGACUGAGUGCUACUGAGUUGCAGGGUUUUAGGGAG
rnacentral:misc_RNA from 1 species